GCCUCCCUAGCUCAGUGGUAGAGCAUCCGCCUUGUAAGCGGAAGGUCGUCAGUUCAAUCCUGACGGGGGGCUCAA
rnacentral:tRNA from 1 species